rnacentral:lncRNA from 12 species
CCCGCGCCAGCUCCCGCGCCCGCGCACGCGCACCGGCCGCGAGCGAGAACAGAGCGGACACACCUAACCUGCGCGCGCGCGCCCCGCGCCCCGCCCCCACUCGGGCCGAGCCGCGCAGCCCGACCAGGAUCCGCUCCCCCGCCCGAAGCGCCCCUCCCCUCCCUUCCCCUCCCCUCCCCUCUCUCCGCGGCCUCGGCGCCUCCGCCAGCCUUCGGCAAUUUCCGGCGCUCGGCGAGGCCCGAGGCCCCGCCGCCGCCUCCUCCGCCGGACCCGGCUUUCUGUCUGCGGCGCCGGGGCGCAUGCGCAGACGCCAUCUUCCUCCGUCUCCUUCGCCUGCCCCCUCCCCCUCCCCCCUGCCGCCGCCGCCGCCUCCUCCUCCUCUCGCCGGCGGUCGCCCCUCCUCCUCCUCGUCCUCCUCCUCCUCCUGCGCUCGGGCGCUGGUCCCUCCUCUCCCGCUGCCGCGAGAGACUGGGGGACGCGGCGGAGCCGGAGGAGAGCACUAGUAACAACCACCACGGCCCCCUCCCCGCCCGCCCGCCCUCCGCACCCACCCACUCGCCGACACCGGCCAACCCCACCUCCCGUUCCUUUGAACGGCGUCGGCUGCAGUCGCUUGCACCAGCCCGUCUGGCCCCCAGCGCCGCCGAGGAAGGAGCCGCCCGCGAGGACGAGGACGAGGACGGGGACGAGGACGAGGACGAGGAGCCGAGCGGCUCGCAGCCCGCCGCCGCCCCCCGGGGAGGCCCGGGCGCCGGCCCCUUCCUCCCCGAGGACGCGUGCCGAGCCGAGGCGCCUGCCCCGAGGGAGGAAAAUGCUCGGGCUCCAUGGCUGCCAGUGAUGGAGCGGUCCCUGCGCUCCCGUCGCCGCCGCCGCCGCGCCCCGGCCGUGCUCCGCGAGGACCCGGCGUCCCUGCGCGCCCGCCCGCGCCCCGUUGCUGGGCUCACCGUACCGGGCGCCCCGCCGCCCCGCUCCGAGCCUCGCCGCCCCGGCCCCGGCCGCGGCCAGCGUCUGCUCACGGAACAGCCGCCGCGAGCCCAGGGGGUUUGA